CAGUCGCCGCGGGAAUACAGAGGAUGCAAGCGUUAUCCGGAAUGAUUGGGCGUAAAGCGUCUGUAGGUGGCUUUUCAAGUCCGCCGUCAAAUCCCAAGGCUCAACCCUGGACAGGCGGUGGAAACUACCAAGCUGGAGUACGGUAGGGGCAAAGGGAAUUUCCGGUGGAGCGGUGAAAUGCGUUGAGAUCGGAAAGAACACCAACGGCGAAUGCACUCUGCUGGGCUGACACUGACACUGAGAGACGAAGUCUAGGGGAGCAAAUGGGAUUAGAUACCCGCGUAGUCCCUGUCUCUUAUAC
rnacentral:rRNA from 1 species